UACGGAGGGUGCCGAGCGUUGUCCGGAAUUACUGGGCGUAAAGCGCGCGCAGGCGGCUCUUCAAGUCAGGGGUGAAAGCCCGGAGCUCAACUCCGGAACUGCCAUUGAAACUGUGAGACUUGAGGAUGAGAGAGGUGAGUGGAAUUCCCAGUGUAGAGGUGAAAUUCGUAGAUAUUGGGAAGAACACCGGUGGCGAAGGCGGCUCACUGGCUCAUUUCUGACGCUCAGGCGCGACAGCGUGGGGAUCAAACAGG
rnacentral:rRNA from 1 species